GUGGCGGAGGGCAGCUAAUGGCGAUCAGUGCUGGAGGACCUGCUGGGGAAGGACAUCCCUCGUGGGGUUGAGACGUCCGUCUCCGAGAUGUGAAGGCUGCAGAGGACCCACCAGGAUCCCCUUGGAGGACAGCAAUGGGACUGCUUGAGGUCUUUGGAAGCACUUCAGUUCAGAAUGCCUUCCAAAGAAUGAAGCCC